rnacentral:tRNA from 1 species
GCGGGUGUAGUUCAGUAGUAGAACGUUUCCUUGCCAAGGAAAAGGUCGUGGGUGCGAAUCCCAUCACCCGCU